CCCUCGACCCACUCCCGACCACCGCCAAUCCCACCUUCUCUGGCUAGCUCCCGGCGCCGCCCCGGCCACGACCUUCUCCCUGGCUGGAUCCCGGCGCCGCCCAACCCGCCACCUUCUCCCCUGCUGGAUGCCGGUGCCGACCUGCCCCCACCCUCUUCCUGGCUAGAGCCUGGCGCCGCCCCACCCGCCUCCUUCUCCCGGCUGGAGCCCGGCGCCGCCCCGCCCACACCUUCUCCCCAGCUGGAGCCCGGCGCCGCCCCGCGCCUGCCUUCCCCCCGGCUGGUGCCAGCCCCGCCCCUGCUUCCACGGUUCUACCCGCCACGGCUGCCCCCUGCUUCCACGCGCCUCCACCGCUGCCCCUCCGCCUUGUUCCGCUGGUGGGCUAACCCCGUCACUGUGCCACAAAGUCAACGCCGCACAGGAGACGCCAUCCCUCGCCCAGCCAAUGGGGCCCGGCGCCCUGACCACGGCCGUGUCCCUGCGCCCUGACCACCGCUGAUGUCCAACGCCACGGUGCCUCCCAUGGCGGCCGUUCACUACCGCCACCCCGGGCCGUUCAACAACACAACACCGAGCAGUUCAAUGCCGCAACUCUACCACCAUUCGCAACUCCAACUUUCAUUAUGUGGUUUUGGAGGUUCAGUUUUUUGUGUGUAUGUUCUGUAUGCUUUUCAGUUCACCUACUUGACGAAUGCAUGUCCAGUUUCCUCUCUAUUUUCCCAUGUCAAUUGCUGAAAUAUUGCCGGCCAGUAUGUGUACUUAUUACCAUAAACCUUCGUGCAUCACUUUGAAGCCCUCAGCAGCAUUUUAUUUCUCUGGCAUAACUUCCUUAACGAAUGCGGCUAGCAUGUUUUCUCAUUUUUGUUCAGUACAAUUUAUUAUUUUUGUUCAGUUCAAAAAUCUUAUUUUAACUGUGUAAUAUACAUGGUUGGCAAAGAUGACUAUAGUUGUUAUAGGAAAAACAGUACAAACCUUUUUAAAAAUUCUUUUUGAACUUCUCCCAAUUAAUAUAUACAUGAACUCAAUUAUCUUUUUAACAUGUACUGAUAUCAGCAUUGUUGGAUUUUGUGCGUGUGCUUGUAGUACAAUCAGUUCAGGUCUCGAGAGACCAUAAGUUCAAGUUCACUAGUAUUUAUAAAUGUUGGUAGCAGUAUUAGUAUUUCAAAUCUGUAACCUCAUAACUAAGCUUGCAUCUUGUUACUUCUAUGGAGGUACUGACCUCAUAAUUUUUUCGGACCAACAACUGACCUGACAUCGUGCUCAGUGUAUUCUCUCAAUCUUGGUUGUCUUGCCUCGUAUAAAAAUAUUGUUAUAUUAUAUGGUGUUAAUUUACAUCAACUCAAGAUCAUUUAGUUUAAUGAUUUCACAAUUUGUUCGAACCAAAAACACGAAUAAAGGUGCAUCUUUUACAUCACCUCAAGAUCAUUUAGUUCAAGUGAUUAUUGUUUUAUUUUGUUCAAUUAGUUCAACAUGUAUUAUGUCAUCAAUUCAUAAUGAGAAAGGCAGGAAAAAGUUCAAUACUUGUGUGUUAAAAACAUAACAGUAUAGAGAUAUUAUUGUAGUAGUUCGAUGGAAUAAAUCGCAUCAGUUCUGACUCAGAUCUGUUCUUGCCUAGAAUGCAUUGAAAAAUAAAAAAUGCCUUCGUUCAGGCUUGAGAAUCAUCUAUAUAUAGGAUAUGUGGUUGGUGUUUAGUUGGUGGCUGUCUGGUACCUACACCGGCAUUUUCCAUCAAGACCUCCAGAAAAGUGAUAUCAUCUCAAGGUGAAAAUAUGAAAUCCUUUUACUCCGGGCUCCAACGCACUGCCGCUCCUCUGAUUCUGCUGCGGGCUCUGCCUGGAAUUCUUCCGCCGACGCUGAUGGUCAACGCCCCCAACCUCCCUUUUUUUCUCUCGAUCUCACUUCCUUGCUGCUCUGCAUGAAGCAAAACAAGAUGCGUUUCAUUUCAAGUUUGUAGUCUUUUUCAGUUCAAGUUUUGCUAGCCAAAAAAGAUUUGUCACAAUUCAAUUUAAAAUAGUGAAAUUAGUUAGCUGAUGGGAAAUAAUUCAAGUAUAUGUGUGCACACUGCAGUAGCAAUUCGGUAGAAAAAAAUUCAGCACUUUUUUAAACAAAAGUAGAAGCACAUUUUGUGAAUUUAAUAAUAAUGCAUCUGUUUUAGUUAUUAUAUGCAGGGCCAUGUUUGUGAAUUACAAGCAAUAGCAGCACUUGUAGAGUAGCCAAAAACAGAGAAAACCGAAGCAUACGUCGUUUUCCUCGUUCUGUGAAUGGCUGGAGGGGCAGCUUCAUUUUCCAUCUGUUGUACAAAAGAUCCAGGACCGCGGGAGAAGAUUUGUUGUUGAAGAAGUGGAAUUUGUUGGGUGCAUGUGCUGCUACAGAUCUGAACUAUUUGUCCAGUGAUUCUAGUACUGAUUCAAUCGCCUAAAAUAAGUUCAAGAAAAAUCAGUAAGUUUGGUGCGUGUGCUGCUACAAAUCUAAACUUCUACUCCAAUCAUUCUAGUACUGAUGUCUCUUUAAAUCUGUAGCGGAGAGAAUAUUUCUGUGCUCAUUCGUCCAUAGUAUGAAGCUCAUUUAUAGUUUCUUUUCUCAUUCUGUUAACUAAGAAAAUGUUUAUUGACCUUGAAGCAUAAACCUGUCGGCAAUGUAACAUUCUGCUGAUAUUUUAAUAAUCGGUAAGCUGUUGUAGCGGGACAAGGUCAUCAUCUUGAGGAGGUCAGUGAGGUCAGCGAUACCAUGCACGCUGAAAGUGUGCGAUGGAUAUUCUCUUAACAUUUUUGUGUUCUGGAGUAAAUCAACAUAGAUUGCUAACAGAACAGCUUCUAAUUUUUUGCACUGGAUUUGGAGAUAUGAACAAUGAUUGAUUUUGAUCAGUACUUGGUUGUGUGAUAUUUGAAACCAGAGGGACAUAUGAACACUGGCCCCGGCAGCCGCAGCGCCCCAUCUCCCCUGGCUCCCACACCACUGCGCCAUCUCCUCCCGGCGGGGCUCCGCCGCCGGAGCGGCAUGGCCGUUCACAGCCACCACCCCUGUCUGUUCACCUGUACAAGAUGUCCAGGCCGAGAUCAUCUUACAUGUCAAGCACCAAACUGACACCCCUGGUACCCACCGCGACUUGUGCUGCUUGUGCUAGUGUGGAUGUGUACCAAGUUCAACUACUAGUCUACGCCAAGUUCAGCACGAGGGAGGUUUGGACGGACGCUGAUCACUAGCCCACUAUGACGACGCUGAUCACUAGCACCAAGGACACCAGCAGGUUGAGGAUGAAGUACAUGACGCAGGCAAUGAGGAUGACCAAAACACAGAAUCCGUAGACAAAGCAGCAGCUGCAAGUUCAUAUUUUCUGUCUAUGGUGAUUUGAUUGCUACGUUUUAAAGAAAAGUGUACAUAACAGUUAGAUGUUUGUGCAAGAAAGAAAAAAUUGUAUGAAUUAAAAACAUUGAUCAGUUCGAUA